AGGGCACCACCAGGAGUGGAGCCUGCGGCUCAAUUUGACUCAACACGGGAAAACUCACCCGGCCCGGACACCGUAAGGAUUGACAGAUUGAGAGCUCUUUCUUGAUUCGGUGGUUGGUGGUGCAUGGCCGUUCUUAGUUGGUGGAGCGAUUUGUCUGGUUCAUUCCGAUAACGAGCGAGACUCUAGCCUACUAAAUAGUGACCGGAUAGCUUGGUCCGGGUCACUUCUUAGAGGGACAAGCGGUGUUCAGCCGCAAUAAGUUGAGCAAUAACAGGUCUGUGAUGCCCUUAGAUGUCCGGGGCUGCACGCGCGCUACACUGGAGGAAUCAGCGUGCUUGACCCAUUGCCGAAAGGCAUUGGUAAACCCUUGAAAAUCCUCCGUGAUCGGGAUCGGGAAUUGCAAUUAUUUCCCUUGAACGAGGAAUUCCCAGUAAGUGUGAGUCAUCAGCUCACGUUGAUUACGUCCCUGCCCUUUGUACACACCGCCCGUCGCUGCCCGGGACUGAGCCGUUUCGAGAA
rnacentral:rRNA from 1 species